CCGGCUGAUCAUCCGUCUUUAGCAAGAAAGUGAACAAAAGUAGAGCUAGGAAUGACAGCAUUACACUGAUAAUCAUUCAGGAAUCAUCAUUCUAAUUCAUGAGUUUGCAGCGGAAUAGAAAUGGAAGAUGGUAGAUGAAGAAGAAGAUGAGAGGGGAGAGAGAGAGAGUGAAA